UACGGAGGGUGCAAGCGUUGUUCGGAUUUACUGGGCGUAAAGCGCGCGCAGGUGGGUGUACAAGUCGGAAGUGAAAUCCCAGGGCUCAACCCUGGGGCUGCUCCCGAAACUGUACGCCUAGGGACUGGUAGAGGCUGGUAGAAUUCCCGGUGUAGCGGUGGAAUGCGUAGAGAUCGGGAAGAAUACCCGUGGCGAAGGCGGCCAGCUGGGCCAGGUCCGACACUGAGGCGCGAAAGCGUGGGGAGCGAACAGG
rnacentral:rRNA from 1 species